ACGAAGACUCUUAUAUGAUGAGAUAUUUUCUCAAGAACCGGAUUUUUUUAGGAAGAGCCGGAAGAGGUAUAACGGGAAUCCCCCGUUGUCGAUGCUUAGAAUGGUUCUUCUGAAAGAGUUUUUGAU
rfam:Penicillium antarcticum strain IBT 31811 PENANT_contig047, whole genome shotgun sequence.